CAAGUUUGAAUGUUCAUGUGAACCAGGAUUUGGAAGAGAUCUCUGCUACCUCUGAAUCCAUAAACUUAGAUCCAUUUUAUUGGCUGCUCUUUGCUGGAGCUGUUGAAUGGCUGUUUGCUGUUGCCUGGGCCCUAGCCCUUGGUGUGGUUUUAAUGGGUGAAGCAUAAGCAGGGAAGAGCAAGAGUAAAAAUGAGAAGAUGGGGCUGAACUUGGCCAUCCCUCCCAUCACUGUAAUGCCAUCCACACAGAUGCUGGAUGGAGAAAUGGGCAGCAGUGUGGCUGCUUGCUUCUGUCACACAGGUGGGUUGGUGGUAUGGUGGUGAUGGUUUGACAGUUGGACUAGAUGACCUGAGUGAUCUUUUCCAACCUUAGUGAUUGUUUGCCUACUCCUCUGUAGAAUGAUUACUUAGCAGUUUUGGGGGAGAUAAAAAUGUUAUGUCAUAGGCAUGGGAAAAAAUGGGGAGAGUGACAUCUAGUGGCUCAUAGAGAAAUGUAUGUAUUUUUUCCUGAGUACAAUGAAAACGACAGCAGUUCUUAAUAAUCUGAUUAACUUAAAUUUUAUACUACUUGAAAUUUAGACAUCAGUUUGCCAAGAACUGAGUUUGUUGUCUAUAGCCAAGGCUUGCUAGCUCAGUAACCUUGUCAAAUAGACUCUGCCUAAUGGUAUGGAAUGGAUUAUGCCUAUAUAAUCAUGUGGAGGAAGUGGGUGGCUUUAGUAGGUUCUUUCCUGUUAGUUUCCAAGGACUGGAUUUCUAGGCUAUGGAGCCAAUUGAACUAAUGCUGGUACCAUAUUUAUGGACAAUUUUCAGCUGUCCAGUUUCUAUUGAAGCACAAGCUAGAUAAAGCCUCUAUUGCUCAGAGGCAGUGCUUGGCUUCUUAUCAGGGUAACCUUGUUUAUUGCACACUAAGUCAACUUACACAAUGAUUCUGGUAUUUAUAAACCACAUGUGGAAUCCUUUGGGGAAAAAAUGGAGCCAAAAGCUGUGGUUCCAGGCAUGCUUGAGAUACAACCAGCCCAGAAGGAUCCACAGAAGUCUAAA
ensembl:lncRNA